UCGAGCGAGUCUGCCUUGAAGAUCGGAGUGCUUGCACUCUGUGAAACAAGAUACAGGCUAGCGGCGGACGGGUGAGUAACACGUGGGUAACCUGCCCAAGAGAUCGGGAUAACACCUGGAAACAGAUGCUAAUACCGGAUAACAACAGAUGAUGCCUAUCAACUGUUUAAAAGAUGGUUCUGCUAUCACUCUUGGAUGGACCUGCGGUGCAUUAGCUAGUUGGUAGGGUAACGGCCUACCAAGGCGAUGAUGCAUAGCCGAGUUGAGAGACUGAUCGGCCACAUUGGGACUGAGACACGGCCCAAACUCCUACGGGAGGCAGCAGUAGGGAAUCUUCCACAAUGGACGCAAGUCUGAUGGAGCAACGCCGCGUGAGUGAAGAAGGGCUUCGGCUCGUAAAGCUCUGUUGUUGGUGAAGAAGGACAGGGGUAGUAACUGACCUUUGUUUGACGGUAAUCAAUUAGAAAGUCACGGCUAACUACGUGCCAGCAGCCGCGGUAAUACGUAGGUGGCAAGCGUUGUCCGGAUUUAUUGGGCGUAAAGCGAGUGCAGGCGGCUCGAUAAGUCUGAUGUGAAAGCCUUCGGCUCAACCGGAGAAUUGCAUCAGAAACUGUCGAGCUUGAGUACAGAAGAGGAGAGUGGAACUCCAUGUGUAGCGGUGAAAUGCGUAGAUAUAUGGAAGAACACCGGUGGCGAAGGCGGCUCUCUGGUCUGUUACUGACGCUGAGGCUCGAAAGCAUGGGUAGCGAACAGGAUUAGAUACCCUGGUAGUCCAUGCCGUAAACGAUGAGUGCUAAGUGUUGGGAGGUUUCCGCCUCUCAGUGCUGCAGCUAACGCAUUAAGCACUCCGCCUGG
rnacentral:rRNA from 1 species